UAGUGUUUACCUCGUCUUCCAAAAUGCU
rnacentral:piRNA from 1 species